AUAUGGGGAGGUAUGGUAGCUGGAAUAUGCUUGCAAACUCUUAUAUUGAUUGGGAUCAUCUACUACACUAAUUGGAACAAAGAGGCUGAGCAAGCGGAGAGUCGGGUUCAGAGAUGGGGAGGAACAGCUCGGGAGUGAUCAUCUCUUGCGAUCAUCAGUUCUUGAGUUCUCUUUUUUUUUUUUUUUUUUAUCGUUAUGUCUAAACUGAAGUUAACGAGUCAAUCUGGGAAUGUUAGAGGGGUUUGUUAUUUUUAGAUCUAAGAUGGUUUACUGAGUUAAACUUUUGAUUAACUGAACUAUGAGAUUUGAUUUUCAUAGGCUUGUUGAUCGCCAGAGUUGAUCCAAAA